rnacentral:rRNA from 1 species
GAUACGACUCUCGGCAAUGGAUAUCUCGGCUCUCGCAUCGAUGAAGAGCGCAGCGAAAUGCGAUACGUGGUGCGAAUUGCAGAAUCCCGCGAACCAUCGAGUCUUUGAACGCAAGUUGCGCCCGAGGCCAACCGGCCAAGGGCACGUCUGCCUGGGCGUCAAGC